rnacentral:rRNA from 1 species
GUGGUCAAGAGAAUCAGGGCUAAUGGUGGAUACCUAGGCACACAGAGGCGAAGAAGGACGUGGUUACCAACGAAAAGCUCCGGGGAGCUGGAAGCAAGCAUCGAGCCGGAGAUGUCCGAAUGGGGCAACCCAAUAAACAAUAGUAGCGAACCCAGUGAAUUGAAACAUCUUAGUAGCUGGAGGAAAAGAAAUCAACAGAGAUUCCCUGAGUAGUGGUGAGCGAAAGGGGAAGAGCCUAAACCAAAUUGCAUGCAGUUUGGGGUCGUGGGAAAGCGAUGUCGAAUCUGGCGGUUAGACGAAGCAGCGAAAUACUGCACCAGAGAAGGUGAAAGUCCUGUAGUCAAAAACUCAAGGAUAGUAGCUUCAUCCCGAGUAGCAUGGGGCACGAGGAAUCCCAUGUGAAUCAGCGAGGACCAUCUCGUAAGGCUAAAUACUACUGUGUGACCGAUAGUGAACAAGUACCGCGAGGGAAAGGUGAAAAGAACCCCGUCGAGGGGAGUGAAAUAGAACAUGAAACCGUUAGCCUACAAGCAGUGGGAGUCCGAUUCAACGGAUGACCGCGUGCCUGUUGAAGAAUGAGCCGGCGAGUUAUAGGUACUGGUAGGUUAAGUUGUAUGACGAAGCCAAAGCGAAAGCGAGUCUGAAAAGGGCGUGUUAUCAGUAUUUAUAGACCCGAACCCGGGUGAUCUAACCAUGUCCAGGAUGAAGCUUGGGUAAAACCAAGUGGAGGUCCGAACCGACCGAUGUUGAAAAAUCGGCGGAUGAGGUGUGGUUAGGGGUGAAAUGCCAAUCGAACUCGGAGCUAGCUGGUUCUCCCCGAAAUGUGUUGAGGCGCAGCGGUAACAGAAAAAACUGAGGGGUAAAGCACUAUUUCGGUGCGGGCUGGGAGACCGGUACCAAAUCGAGAUAAACUCUGAAUACUCAGUGGUAAAGUUACCAGUGAGACGGUGGGGGAUAAGCUUCAUCGUCAAGAGGGAAACAGCCCAGACCACCAGCUAAGGUCCCAAAAUCAUCUCUAAGUGGUAAAGGAGGUGGGAGUGCAUAGACAACCAGGAGGUUUGCCUAGAAGCAGCCAUCCUUGAAAGAGUGCGUAAUAGCUCACUGGUCAAGCGCUCCUGCGCCGAAAAUGAAUGGGACUAAGAGAUGUACCGAAGCUGUGGAUUUCAGUGACCAGUAACCAGUGAACAGUGACCAGAAAGAAAAAAAUGGUCACUGCUCACUGGUCACUGUUGAACUGAACUGGUAGGGGAGCGUUCCGUCUUCGGUAGAAGCAGUAGCGGCAAGCAGCUGUGGACGAGACGGAAGUGAGAAUGUCGGCUUGAGUAGCGCAAACUAGGGUAAGAAUCCCUAGCCCCGAAACCCCAAGGGUUCCAGAGGCAGGUUCGUCCACUCUGGGUUAGUCGGGACCUAAGGCGAGGCUGAAAAGCGUAGUCGAUGGACAGAGGGUGAACAAUCCCUCACUUUGAAGUGGGAGUCGGCAGAAGACGCAUGAAAGAAAGCAACGCCCUGAAUGGAUUGGGAGGUGUCUAAGGAUGCCGAGUUGUGAAGGAUAGUGCCAAGAAAAGCUCUGUCGAUGAUGAAAGCAUCAAACCCGUACUCGAAACCGACACAGGUGGGGAAGUUGAGAAAACUCAGGGGCGCGAGAUAACUCUCUCUAAGGAACUCGGCAAAAUGGCCCCGUAACUUCGGAAGAAGGGGUGCCAGCGAGAGCUGGCCGCAGUGAAGAGAUCCAGGCGACUGUUUACCAAAAACACAGGUCUCCGCAAACAAGCAAUUGGAAGUAUGGGGGCUGACGCCUGCCCAGUGCCGGAAGGUUAAGGAAGUUGGUCAGGAGGAAACUUUGAAGCUGACGACUGAAGCCCCGGUGAACGGCGGCCGUAACUAUAACGGUCCUAAGGUAGCGAAAUUCCUUGUCGGGUAAGUUCCGACCCGCACGAAAGGCGUAACGAUCUGGAUGGUGUCUCAGAGAGAGACUCGGCGAAAUAGGAAUGUCUGUGAAGAUACGGACUACCUGCACCAGGACAGAAAGACCCUAUGAAGCUUUACUGUAGUCUGGAAUUGGGUCCGGGCUUGGCUUGCGCAGCAUAGGUGGGAGGCGUAGAAGUAUUCCUUGUGGGGAGUAUGGAGCCAACGGUGAGAUACCACUCUAGCGAAGCUAGGAUUCUAACCCACGAUUGUGAAUCCAAUCGGGAGACAGUUUCAGAUGGGCAGUUUGACUGGGGCGGUCGCCUCCUAAAAGGUAACGGAGGCGCACAAAGGUUCCCUCAGCACGCUUGGAAACCGUGCGUUGAGUGUAAAGGCAAUAAGGGAGCUUGACUGUAAGAGUUACAACUCGAACAGGGUGGAAACACGGUCUUAGUGAUCCGACGGCGCAGAAUGGAAUGGCCGUCGCUCAACGGAUAAAAGUUACUCUAGGGAUAACAGGCUGAUCUCCCCCAAGAGUCCACAUCGACGGGGAGGUUUGGCACCUCGAUGUCGGCUCAUCGCAACCUGGGGCGGAAGUACGUCCCAAGGGUUGGGCUGUUCGCCCAUUAAAGCGGUACGUGAGCUGGGUUCAGAACGUCGUGAGACAGUUCGGUCCAUAUCCGGUGCAGGCGUUAGAGCAUUGAGAGGAGUCCUCCUUAGUACGAGAGGACCGGGAGGAACGCACCGCUGGUGUACCAGUUAUCAUGCCCAUGGUAGACGCUGGGUAGCCAUGUGCGGAGCGGAUAACCGCUGAAAGCAUCUAAGUGGGAAGCCCACCUCAAGAUGAGUGCUCUCACUACUAUAAGUAGUUAAGGUCACAGGUAGAACACCUGUUCAUAGGCAGUCGGUGUACAUACAGUAAUGUAUUUAGCCAAGCUGUCCUAACAGACCGAGGUCUUGACCUC